AGUAAGAUACUGGAAGAGGUGCCUGGAAGCAAAGCUGUGCAGCCUCUGUUCAUGGAGGUGUACAAGAAAACGUAGAAAUCCCUGUCUCUAACCAGGAUAUUGAUCCUGUAUUAACCAGAGGGUUGGAUACAGGCAUCCUGAGCUUUCUUUUUGCUACUGAAUGAAGUCGUUGGCAUUUGGCUGUGCAAAGUCAAUGCCUCCCCGAGGGAGCUGGCUGCAGGGGCUGCUCAGGAACUGGCUGGGCAUCAGCUGGCGUGUGCUGGGUUAUCUGAUGGAGGACUUCUGAACUGGGAUGACAAGAAGAAAAGAUGGGGGAGCCAUAAGCAGAAUGCUGGGACACAGACCUGACAAAGCAAAAAUGGAAACAAUGAUAAACAAACCUGCUAGUCACGCAAGUUGUUGGGCUAUCAAACUACAGGUACCAUGUCCAAGAAAAUCAACCUGGACUUUGCAACUGGACCGUGUUUCCAGGAACUAGCAGUUCUGUGUAACCAGCUGUUUGCAUACUGAAUUGGAAAUACUCAGUGAAUCCCGUCGCCUAAAACCUGGGUUUCCCCAGAAAACUGGGCACCUGAAAGAAAUGACUGAAGAAUUUAAGCAGUGUUUUACCCAAGGAGCUACAGGAGGAUUUUGCAAUCAACUGGAACUCCAUUUAUAGGAUAUCUUACAGCACAAGUGGAGCCCAGAUGUUUUCAGUAAACGGCUUUCAAAACAGUUGAGAUCAGUGUCAAAUUUCCAGACGUGAUCGAGCUUGGAGUCAAGUUUGGGGUUGCUUUUGUGUUUACCUAAAGUCUGUGUGCUGAAUUACACUGAAGUUUGGGGGUGGAAUGCAGUUCUCCAUAACAAAUAUUUGACUGGACACACGGUUUAUCUUAUUUGCAGAACUUUGAGCUUUGAAAAAAGGUUACUGUAUUUUCGUUAGUGUAAUAUUUGAGGUAUAGUCAGCUCUCUUGUUUGCUGGGUUCAGAACCACUGUUGCAUUUUAACUUAGAUGUG